AUGGGGGCGCGGCUGGGCCGGCGGGCCGGACCCGAGGCGGGCUCCGAGGCCCGGGCGGCGGCGGGGUGCGGGCCCGCGCCCUAUGAGCGCCGGGUGCGCUGGCUCCGCGAGAUCCAGUCCACACUCCGCGAGCGGCGGCCCGAGCGCGCCCGGCAGCUGCUGCGCCUCCUGCGCCAGGACCUGGGCCUUGAGGGGACCCUCCUCACUGACAUCCUCUACAGGAACGUGGCCUUCCUCAAUCUGGUGGACCCCAUCUCCCAUGACCUGCUUGUGAACCUGGCCCGGGACCUGCAGUGCCCCAAAACGGACUAUGAGCUCUGGAAGUCCUCGGACAAGAUCUGCCGGCAGCUCAUCUACCACCUCACCCCUCACUCCAAGCGGCAGCAAGGGUCCAACCUGCCCCGGAGGAAGACCCAGAGCUGCCUCAAGAGCAGCCUCCAGAAGACUCUGCUGGCAGGGGAGACUGUUAACCUCUCAGGAAUCCCGCUGUCAGCGCGGGACGUGCAGCACAUAACGCGCUACCUGGGCAGCCAGGGCGUGGGGCUCGCCGUGCUGGACCUGAGCUUCACGGAGCUAAGUGACGAGCUGCUGGGCCUGCUGCUGCCCAGCCUCUGGGCGCUGCCCCGCCUCACCCAGCUCCUGCUCAACGGCAACCGGCUGACACAGGCUGCCGCCCGCGAGCUCACUGAGGCGGUCAAGGACACCAGCAAGUUCCCGGCGCUGGCCUGGGUAGACCUGGGUAACAACGUGGAUGUGGCCUCUCUGCCUCAGCCCCUGCUGCUCGGCCUGCGCCGGCGGCUGAGCCAGCGCACCUCGCUCCCCACCAUCUAUGAGGGCAUGGUCCUUGAGCCUGAGGACCUUGAGUCUGAGGACAGUGCAGCCACCGUUGCCUCCACCUGGGGCUCUGCAGCAGCCGGGCCAGGGCCAGAGCCCCAGGCCUGCUGCACUAGGUGACCCGCCACCUACCCUGGCUCCUGCUACCUGACGAUGCUCCCAAACACAUGAGAUAGAAGGUGAUGGAGACCACGGAGGUGCCCCAAGCCCCCAGAGAUCCAGUGCAAAUGCUCAGCCUGGGUUUAAGGAGAUGGAAGAAGAAUGAGCCCAGUGGAGGCCAAAUGGUCAACCCAGGUGGGGAGUCUCAGCCUUCUCUCAGUAAGAAGGGCCUGGCACCCACUGUGCAGACCCCACAAUAAAAGGAGGUGGGUGCUAUUACAACCUUCAUUUUGGAGGUGAGCGAACUGAGGCAGGGAGAGGUCACGCGGCUUGCCCAAGGUCAAACAGUGAGGAAGUGGAGGAGCCGGGAUGUGAGCCAGGUGGCCUGGCUUCCAUCUGUGACAUGAAUGGCUGUGAUGCCACCCGUCCCCCAGCCAUCCCAGAGGUGAGGGUUCACCAGCACUCCUGAGCAAGCCCCUGCCCAAGAGGCCAUUGGAGGCGGGAGAAGCACGGCGGUGGCUCUGCUGGCGGGCGUCCUGCAGCGGGGAGCAGACUUCCAGCCGUGCUGCCCCUGGAGCAAGACCAGUCAGGACCUCCCUGGGCCUCAGUCUUCUUGUGUGCAAAAUGGGUGGGGAGGGGAGCCAUGAGGAUCCGGGCUCUGUUCUUUUCCAGGAAUGAAAGGGACUAAUGAGGAGUGGGUUUGGAGGUACUUGUCCGACUGAAUGAAGCCCAGCCGCGUGCCCAGGGGUGCUGGAUCCACACCCACCCCUGGCAGUGUGGCUGGGACAGCUGCAGGUGCCCUCACCUCGUGGAGCCUCAGCCUCCUCAAGCCUAAAGCCACCUUGCCAGGAUGCUGCCAGCAUUGAAAGGAGACACGCGCAGAAGAUACCUGUGCUCUGCUGUGUACUGAGAAAGAACAAAGUGGCCAGACCAAGUGUUGCCGGCUUGGAGUGCAAUACGGUACAUUUCGACUUGUGCAUACAUCCAUGAAACCAGCACCGCAAUCAAGAUGGUCGCACAUCUGUCACACCCAUACUGUCACCCUUGAUAAUCCCUCCCUCCCACCCCCGUCCCCAAGCAACCAUUGGUCUACUUUCUGUCCCUCUAGAUUAGUUUACAUUUCCUAGAGUUUUAGAUAUACGGAAUCAUACAAGGUGUACUUUUUCAUAUGUGACUUCUUUCACUCGGCAUUAAUUAUUUUGAGACUUGCUCAUGUUGUUGCGUGUAUCAAUAGUUCCUUUUUUUUUUUCGUAAGGAAGAUUGGCCCUGAGCUAACAUCUGUUGCC